GAUGAACGCUGGCGGCGUGCUUAACACAUGCAAGUCGAACGGAAAGGCUCCUGCUUGCAGGGGUACUCGAGUGGCGAACGGGUGAGUAACACGUGGGUGAUCUGCCCUGCACUUCGGGAUAAGCCUGGGAAACUGGGUCUAAUAUCGGAUAGGACGAUGGUUUGGAUGCCAUUGUGGAAAGUUUUUCGGUGUGGGAUGAGCUCGCGGCCUAUCAGCUUGUUGGUGGGGUAAUGGCUUACCAAGGCGUCGACGGGUAGCCGGCCUGGGAGGGUGUACGGCCACAUUGGGACUGAGGGACGGCCCAGACUCCAACGGGAGGCAGCAGUGGAGAAUAUUGCACAAUAGGCGCAAGCCUGAUGCAGCGACGCUGCGUGGGGGAUGACGGCCUUCGGGUUGUAAACUCCUGUCGCUAGGGACGAAGCGCAAGUGACGGUACCUGGAGAAGAAGCACCGGCUAACUACGUG
rnacentral:rRNA from 1 species